rnacentral:rRNA from 1 species
UACGGAGGGGGCUAGCGUUGUUCGGAAUUACUGGGCGUAAAGCGCACGUAGGCGGCUUUGUAAGUUAGAGGUGAAAGCCCGGGGCUCAACUCCGGAAUUGCCUUUAAGACUGCAUCGCUAGAAUUGUGGAGAGGUAAGUGGAAUUCCGAGUGUAGAGGUGAAAUUCGUAGAUAUUCGGAAGAACACCAGUGGCGAAGGCGGCUAUCUGGACGGUUUCUGACACUAAGACACGAAAGCGUGGGGAGCAAACAGG